GACGGAGUUUUAUGAAGUUUUCGGACGGAUUAAAACUUAGUGGCGGACGGGUGAGUAACGCGUGGGUAACCUGCCUCACACAGGGGGAUAACAGCUGGAAACGGCUGCUAAAACCGCAUAAUAUUGCGACGUCGCAUGGCGAUGCAAUUAAAUAUUUAUAGGUGUGAGAUGGGCCCGCGUCUGAUUAGCUAGUUGGUAGGGUAACGGCCUACCAAGGCGAUGAUGGGUAGCUGGUCUGAGAGGAUGGUCAGCCACACUGGCACUGAGACACGGGCCAGACUCCUACGGGAGGCAGCAGUGAGGAAUUUUGGGCAAUGGGCGAAAGCCUGACCCAGCAACGCCGCGUGGGUGAUGACGUUCUGCGGAACUUAAAGCCCUGUUGGGGGGGAUGAAAUUCCUGCAUCGCAGGAAUCGACAGUACCCCCAAAGAAAGCUCCGGCCAACUCCGUGCNNNCAGCCGCGGUAAUACGGGGGGAGCGAGCGUUGUCCGGAUUCACUGGGCGUAAAGCGCGUGUAGGCGGAUUNNNNNGUCAGUGGUGAAAGNNCUCGGCUUAACUGAGGNNUUNNNNNUGAUACUGCCAAUCUUGAGUAUGGAAGA
rnacentral:rRNA from 1 species